rnacentral:tRNA from 1 species
AGGGAUGUAGCCAAGUGGUAAGGCAUCGCCCUUUGGCGGCGACAUGCGUAGGUUCGAGUCCUGCCAUCCCUG